rnacentral:rRNA from 1 species
CCUACGGGUGGCACCAGUGGGGAAUACUGCACAAUGGGCGCAAGCCUGAUGCAGCCAUGCCGCGUGUAUGAAGAAGGCCUUAGGGUUGUAAAGUACUUUCAGUUGGGAGGAAGGCGUUGAUGCUAAUAUCAUCAACGAUUGACGUUACAACAGAAGAAGCACCGGCUAACUCCGUGCCAGCAACCGCGGUAAUACGGAGGGUGCAAGCGUUAAUCGGAAUUACUGGGCGUAAGGCGCACGCAGGCGGUUGAUUAAGUUAGAUGUGAAAUCCCCGGGCUUAACCUGGGAAUGGCAUCUAAGACUGGUCAGCUAGAGUCUUGUAGAGGGGGGUAGAAUUCCAUGUGUAGCGGUGAAAUGCGUAGAGAUGUGGAGGAAUACCGGUGGCGAAGGCGGCCCCCUGGACGAAGACUGACGCUCAGGUGCGAAAGCGUGGGGAGCAAACAGGAUUAGAUACCCCAGUAGUC